rnacentral:rRNA from 1 species
CAGGAUUGAUUGAGCGUUAAAGGGCGGAGUAGGCGGCUGAGCGAGUCAGUAGUGAAGUGCCAUAUUUCAAGGGUGGAAGUGCUAUUGAAACUGCAAGGCUUGAGUGCAGGAGAGGGUAUCGGAAUGCCGGAUGUAGCGGUGAAAUGCGUAGAGAUGCGGAGGAAACAGCAGUGGCGCAGGCGGGGUAAGCUGGACUGCAACUGACGUUGAGGCGCGAAAGUGUGGGAGGCAAACAGGAUAAGAUACCUUGGUAGUCCACACGGUAUACGAUGAAUGCUAGGUGUAUGGGGUAUCGACCCGUUCUGUCCCGGAGUAAACACAAUAAGCAUUCCACUUGGGGAGUACGGCAGCAAGGUUGAAACUCAAAAGAAUAGACGAGAGCCCGCACAAGCAGUCGAGUAUGUGCUUUAAUGGGAUGCAACGCGAAGACCCUUACCACGACUUGACAUCCUGAGAAGGCGGAGUAAAGUAUGCCGUGUCCCUUCGGGGGAACUCAGAGACAGGUGGUGCAUGGUUGUCGUCAGCUCGUGUCGUGAGAUGUUGGGUUAAGUCCCGCAACGAGCGCAACCCUUCCGGUUAGUUGCUACGCAAGAGCACUCUAGCCGGACUGCCGUUGACAAAACGGAGGAAGGUGGGGACGACGUCAAAUCAUCAUGCCCCUUACCUUGUGGGCUCCCCACGUACUACAAUCGCGUAAACAAAGGGCCGAGAAGGCGCGAGCCGGAGAUAAUCCUCAAAAUGCUGUCUCAGUUCAGACUGCAGGCUGCAACUCGCCUGCAUGAAGUCGGAAUUGCUAGUAAUGGCAGGUCAGC